UACGGGGUGCAGCAGUAGGGAAUCUUCCACAAUGGGCGAAAGCCUGAUGGAGCAACGCCGCGUGAGUGAAGAAGGUUUUUGGAUCGUAAAACUCUGUUGUAAGGGAAGAAGCAAGUACAGUAGUAACCUGGACUGUACCCUGACGUACCUAUAAA
rnacentral:rRNA from 1 species